CCACCAGCCUGGCCCAGGUCAAGCGCCGACUGCUGGUCGGCGACCUGCUCGGCCAGGCCUUCAGUGGCCUGUCGCUGGGC
rnacentral:tRNA from 2 species